UACAGAGGUCUCAAGCGUUGUUCGGAUUCAUUGGGCGUAAAGGGUGCGUAGGUGGCCAACUAAGUCAGACGUGAAAUCCCUCGGCUUAACCGGGGAACUGCGUCUGAUACUGGAUGGCUUGAGUUCGGGAGAGGGAUGCGGAAUUCCAGGUGUAGCGGUGAAAUGCGUAGAUAUCUGGAGGAACACCGGUGGCGAAGGCGGCGUCCUGGACCGGCAUUGACGCUGAGGCGCGAAAGCCAGGGGAGCAAACGGG
rnacentral:rRNA from 1 species